GACGAACGCCGGCGGCGUGCCUAAUACAUGCAAGUCGAACGAGAGCGACCGGUGCUUGCACUGGUCAAUCUAGUGGCGAACGGGUGAGUAACACGUGGGUAACCUGCCCAUCAGAGGGGGAUAACAUCCGGAAACGGAUGCUAAAACCGCAUAGGUCUUCGAACCGCAUGGUUUGAAGAGGAAAAGAGGCGCAAGCUUCUGCUGAUGGAUGGACCCGCGGUGCAUUAGCUAGUUGGUGAGGUAACGGCUCACCAAGGCCGUGAUGCAUAGCCGACCUGAGAGGGUGAUCGGCCACAUUGGGACUGAGACACGGCCCAAACUCCUACGGGAGGCAGCAGUAGGGAAUCUUCCGCAAUGGACGCAAGUCUGACGGAGCAACGCCGCGUGAGUGAAGAAGGUGUUCGGAUCGUAAAACUCUGUUGUUAGAGAAGAACAAGUGCUAGAGUAACUGUUAGCGCCUUGACGGUAUCUAACCAGAAAGCCACGGCUAACUACGUG
rnacentral:rRNA from 1 species